GAGGAAGUAAAAGUCGUAACAAGGUUUCCGUAGGUGAACCUGCGGAAGGAUCAUUAACGAGUAAACRAGGGAGUUGUAGCUGGCCGCAAGGCAUGUGCACGCUCUCUACUCAAUCCAACCUUACACCUGUGCACCUAUUGUAGGUCGAGUGGCUGGACUUGUUCUGGCCGCUCUUCCUAUGUUUUACACAUACACUUGUAGUCUCAGAAUGUAAUCCGCGUAUAACGCAUUAUAAAACAACUUUCAACAACGGAUCUCUUGGCUCUCGCAUCGAUGAAGAACGCAGCGAAAUGCGAUAAGUAAUGUGAAUUGCAGAAUUCAGUGAAUCAUCGAAUCUUUGAACGCACCUUGCGCUCCUUGGUAUUCCGAGGAGCAUGCCUGUUUGAGUGUCAUGAAUAUCUCAACUCAUCCGGUUUUUAUUAACUGUGGUGGGCUUGGACUUGGAGGUAUGCUGGCUGACUAGUCGGCUCCUCUCUAAAUGUAUUAGCUGGACCUGUUACGGAUCAGUACUCGGUGUGAUAAUUGUCUACGCCGUGUCUGUGAAGUGCUUGAAUGGACUAGCUUCURACCGUCUUCGGACAACUACUGACAUUUUGACCUCAAAUCAGGUAGGAUUACCCGCUGAACUUAAGCAUAUC
rnacentral:rRNA from 1 species